CAACAGCCACCUUCGAUGCAGUUUGGCUGUGAUUCGGGGGCAAAACUGGAAUACCCCUGCCAGGUCCUAGAAGCUUUAAGAUUCAUCGUUGAACCUGAUACUACAGCACAGCACCUUGAAAAUGAAUCAUCUGCUAGUUCUGUAUUUUCUCUUUGCAAUCACUCCCUCCCAAUAAAACAAGCAGGGCUAACAAAUGCAUC
rnacentral:lncRNA from 1 species